rnacentral:piRNA from 1 species
AUGGAUGAAUGGGUGGAUGAU